GUAUCAGUUAGCUUCUGCUAUGUAACAAACAUCCCAAAGCUUAAUGGUUUAAAAUGGCAUAUUUAUUAUUCUUAAUUAUUAUGUGAGUGACAUGGUUCUUCUGGUCUGUGUCAUCUCAGCUGAUCUCUUUGGUCAGCUAGCAGCUCUGCCAGGGCUGGAUGGUCUAGAAUGGCCUCAUCCAUGUGUCUGGUGGGUUGGCUUCAGGUUGGCUGGGGUGCUAGGAAUGACUUGGCUGUGUGUCCCUCAUCACCCAACAGGCUGUCCUGGAUUUAUUCACAUGCAGGUGCCACAGGGUCCUAAGAUGAACAAGAGAGGGAAGAUUCUCAAUGAGCCAGUGCUUUUAGGGCCUCUGCUUGUGUCAUAUUUGCCAAUGGUCCACGGGCCAAAGCAAGUUACCAGGCCAGCCCGUCAGUGUGGGAGGGGAAUGCCCAAGGAAUAAAUAAGGUCUAUUUUUACAAUCUCCACAAUAGUCUGAAAUCUGAACCAUUCAUUUGUCUGCCUCAUAGGCUUCUAGUAAUCUUAACCCAAUUUUGGUUCUCAGUGGGGCCCAGAGCAGGAAUAGUUGAAAGAAAAAUCUCAACUAUUUUCCAAAAGGGGCCACAUACUUCUCACCCAUGCCCAAGUCAUUCCUGCCUUUCUUCCAUUGCCCCCACCCAAUUAUCAUCCCCACCACCACCACCACCAUUGUGGGGAAAUGAAAUCUGAUUAAAUGCUCAUGGAUGGAAAAGAAAAUGGAUUGUGAUUCAGGGAAUUUGAAUUUAGUUACUCGAAACUAGCUGUGGGACCUUGGGCAGGUCACUUCCAUUUCUCUGACCCUCAGUGAUUUUUACUUUUUCAAUGUAAUAGCCCCAAUUUUUCUAUAAACAUGAAUUCAGUUCCCACUGUGUGCUAGGCAUUGCACUGAACAACACAGAUACCAUUGUGAAAACAGACACAGUCCUUGACUUUAUGAAGCAUAUAGCAUAAUGGGAUAAACAGAUGUUAAUCAAAUAAUCUCCAUAACGAGCAUAUAAUUACAGACUGAGAUAAGUGCUCUGAAGGACAAGAGCCCAAUUCUAUAAGAAGUUACUACAAAGGUGUAGUCUGGUGUAGACCAUGAGAGAGGAGCAUGAAGGAAAGUCCCUGUCAAGUGAAGGACAGUUGAGAGGAAAUUAACUACGAGGACCAAGGCAGAUGACAUUGAACCCAGAGUUAUUGGGAGAAAAUUCUCCAUAGAUCUCUUGCAUUUCUGCAUGUUUUGAAAGCAGAGGGCCUGUCUGCCUUUGUCUUGGGCUAUAUUUUCAAGGAUAUUUGGAAAACAACCUUGAAAGAUAGAGAUGAUAUCUUCUUCUACAGCAAUGGGUAGGCAUGCUCACUGCCCAUUGUAGAAGAUUCAGGUUUCAGCUGGGUGUGGUGGCUCAUGCCUGUAAUCCCAGAGCUUUGGGAGGCCAAGGUGGGAGGACUGCUUGAGGCCAGGAGUUUGAGACCAGCCAGGGAAAUAUAAUGAGACCCUGUCUCUAAUAAAACAAAUUUCUUUUCUAAUCAACUGGGCAUGCACCUGUAGUCCUAGCUACUCACAAAGCAGAGGCAGAAGAAUCACAUGAGUCCAGGAGUUUGAGGUUACAGUGAACUAUGAUUGCAUCUACCGUACCCUAGCCUGGGCAACAGGGCAAGGCCCUGUCUCUAAAAAAAAAAAAAAAAAAAA
ensembl:lncRNA